UACGUAGGAUGCAAGCGUUAUCCGGAUUCAUUGGGUUUAAAGGGAGCGUAGGCGGAUUGGUAAGUCAGUGGUGAAAUCUUUGGGCUUAACCCAGAAACUGCCAUUGAUACUGCUGAUCUAGAGUACAGUUGCCGUUGGCGGAAUAUGACAUGUAGUGGUGAAAUACUUAGAUAUGUCAUAGAACACCGAUUGCGAAGGCAGCUAACGAAGCUGUAACUGACGCUGAGGCUCGAAAGUGCGGGGAUCAAACAGG
rnacentral:rRNA from 1 species